rnacentral:rRNA from 1 species
AACGUAGGGGACAAGCGUUAUCCGGAUUUACUGGGCGUAAAGCGCCUGUAGGCGGCUUUUUAAGUUGGACGUGAAAGCUCCCGGCUUAACUGGGAGAGGCCGUUCAAAACUGAGAGGCUAGAGUGAGGCAGAGGAGCGCGGAAUUCCCGGUGUAGUGGUGGAAUGCGUAGAUAUCGGGAGGAACACCAGUGGCGAAAGCGGCGCUCUGGGCCUAAACUGACGCUGAGGGGCGAAAGCGUGGGGAGCGAACGGG